rnacentral:rRNA from 1 species
CCUACGGGUGGCAGCAGUAGGGAAUCUUCCACAAUGGGCGAAAGCCUGAUGGAGCAACGCCGCGUGAGUGAAGAAGGUUUUCGGCUCGUAAAACUCUGUUGGUAGUGAAGAAAGUGCGUGGUAGUAACUGUUCACGUUUCGACGGUAUCUACUCAGAAAGCCACGGCUAACUACGUGCCAGCAGCCGCGGUAAUACGUAGGUGGCAAGCGUUAUCCGGAUUUAUUGGGCGUAAAGGGAACGCAGGCGGUCCUAUAAGUCUGAUGUGAAAGCCUUCGGCUUAACCGGAGUAGUGCAUUAGAAACUGUGGAACUUGAGUGCAGAAGAGGAGAGUGGAACUCCAUGUGUAGCGGUGAAAUGCGUAGAUAUAUGGAAGAACACCAGUGGCGAAGGCGGCUCUCUGGUCUGCAACUGACGCUGAGGUUCGAAAGCAUGGGUAGCAAACAGGAUUAGAUACCCUUGUAGUC